rnacentral:lncRNA from 1 species
UUUUUUUAGAGUAUCAGGAGGCCAGAGGCCCCCGGUUCCAUUAUGAAUAAUGAAACCAGCGUACGUACAGGAGUUCAAAGUAAAACAAGAGUAAAUUUCACAGAACCACAGGUUUUGAGGCAGCCUUCUCACGGAGCACUGGUAGAUGCUAAUUUGUCCACAGAAUCACAACUUUUGUGUCUAAUUGUCUCAGUCUACCCAAAACACGUGUUUAAGCUCUUUUGACACUAUUUCUUAAAGGUGGGGCUCGCACGUCAG